ACUCACCUCUAUUAUAGAAGUUAAAAUAGAAUACCAUUAGAGAUGCUUUUAUAGAGAAAAUAUAGUAAUUUCUAUUAUAGAGGUGGAAAUAGAGUAACAGUUGAGCAAAAAUUAAAAUAGCAUGCUCUAAUUCCCAUCCAGUGCUUAACUCCAUUUUCGCUUCUCGAUUCAUCUCACCAUCUCUAUUCCUACAACCCAAAUUGAUUGACACCCGAUUAUUUCCAUCACACACUGCAGUUCCUUUUCUGUGAAACAAUUUAGGAGAUCCAGUCGUAUUUAAGAACAACCAAAUCUGCAACUCGAAGAGAUACUGUAAAUGUAUUUGCCGUUGAUUGAUUUCUUACACGGCGGAUUCAAUUGUGGAUUUUACAAAUCUCCUUUAAUUGGUGAAUAUAAGAAGAUCUAAUCAAAACAGAGACAGAGACAUCAUACUCGGCGGAUUCAAUUAGCAUAUGUGAAGAAGAUCUAAUCAAACAGAAGGACAAAGGGAGAGACAUCACUGUAAGUUCAG